UAUAUCGGAACGUGCCCAGUCGUGGGGGAUAACGUAGCGAAAGCUACGCUAAUACCGCAUACGAUCUAUGGGAUGGAAAGCGGGGGAUCGCAAGACCUCGCGCGAUUGGAGCGGCCGAUAUCAGAUUAGGUAGUUGGUGAGGUAAAGGCUCACCAAGCCGACGAUCUGUAGCUGGUCUGAGAGGACGACCAGCCACACUGGGACUGAGACACGGCCCAGACUCCUACGGGAGGCAGCAGUGGGGAAUUUUGGACAAUGGGCGCAAGCCUGAUCCAGCAAUGCCGCGUGCAGGAUGAAGGCCUUCGGGUUGUAAACUGCUUUUGUACGGAACGAAACGGUGAGCUCUAAUACAGUUUGCUAAUGACGGUACCGUAAGAAUAAGCACCGGCUAACUACGUG
rnacentral:rRNA from 1 species